rnacentral:rRNA from 1 species
UACCAGCUCUCCGAGUGGUGUGGAUGUUUAUUGGGCCUAAAGCAUCCGUAGCUGGCUGGACAAGUCCCCUGUUAAAUCCACCGAUUUAAUCGUUGGAGUGCGGGGGAUACUGUUCGGCUAGGGGACGGGAGAGGCAGACGGUAUUUCCGGGGUAGGGGUGAAAUCCUAUAAUCCCGGGAAGACCACCAGUGGCGAAGGCUGUCUGCUAGAACGCGCCCGACGGUGAGGGAUGAAAGCUGGGGGAGCGAACCGGAUUAGAUACCCGGGUAGUCCCAGCUGUAAACGAUGCAGGCUAGGUGUUUGGACGGCCACGUGCCGUUCUAGUGCCGCAGGGAAGCCGUUAAGCCUGCCGCCUGGGGAGUACGGCCGCAAGGCUGAAACUUAAAGGAAUUGGCGGGGGAGCACCACAAGGGGUGAAGCUUGCGGUUU